rnacentral:rRNA from 1 species
UACAGAGGGUGCGAGCGUUAAUCGGAAUUACUGGGCGUAAAGCGUGCGUAGACGGUUAUUUAAGUCAGGUGUGAAAGCCCCGGGCUCAACCUGGGAAUUGCAUUUGAGACUGAAUAGCUAGGGUGCGGAAGAGGGAAGCGGAAUUUCCGGUGUAGCGGUGAAAUGCGUAGAUAUCGGAAGGAACACCAGUGGCGAAAGCGGCUUCCUGGUCCAGCACCGACGUCAGGCACGAAAGCGUGGGGAUCAAACAGG